CACGGGGCGGGACGGGCGCCGCCUCCGCCCCCGACAAGAUGGCGCGGCCGGCCCCGCUCCCUCAGGGCUCGGCCGCCAUGGCGGGGGGAGCGGCGGCGUGGCCCCUGAGGAUCCAGGAAAAAGCUGGAGGAAUUGGAGCCACGGGAUGUGCACGUCCUCCAUGAGCACGCAGCAGGAGGAGUUAGCAGUCAUCAAUCCUUUGGUGUGCUGACCUUUGAGAUCCAAAAGGAGACACGUUCCCUGUUUUCUCCAUCUUUUCUGGGUUACCUGAGCUCCUCAAAGCUCACUCAGGGACUCACCUGGCCAGAUGCAACCAGCAAUUGGGAAGAACCCAGCACUCCUGUAUAUGGAUCACAGGAAUAUCUUCCACUGAUUUACACAAAAUAGAAAUGAAACCCCUGCUACUUCAGCAGCAGCCUAGGAGGUAACCCAACAAUAACCACAAUCUCAUGGAAAGCUAAAAUAAACUAGAAAACACAGGAAAAACAAAUAUCUGCUGCUGAAACCAGCUCAUCUAUUUUUGGAAAAUUGCAAGGAUUGCCUCGCCCAGGAAGAGCUUCCCAACGAGCGGAAUUACGCCAAC